UAGAAAAUAGUAUAGUGGGAGUACGGAGGGUUUUGAGCCCUUAUGUGCAGGUUCGUGUCCUGUUUUUCUAA
rnacentral:tRNA from 1 species